UACGUAGGGUGCAAGCGUUGUCCGGAAUUAUUGGGCGUAAAGAGCUCGUAGGCGGUCUGUCGCGUCUGCUGUGAAAACUCGGGGCUUAACCCCGAGCCUGCAGUGGAUACGGGCAGACUAGAGGUAGGUAGGGGAGAAUGGAAUUCCCGGUGUAGCGGUGAAAUGCGCAGAUAUCGGGAGGAACACCGGUGGCGAAGGCGGUUCUCUGGGCCUUACCUGACGCUGAGGAGC
rnacentral:rRNA from 1 species